rnacentral:misc_RNA from 1 species
CCGAGUUUACAACUCCCAAACCCUUGUGAACAUACCUAUCGUUGCUUCGGCGGGAUCCGCCCCGGCGCCUCAACGCGCCGGAAUCAAGGCGCCCGCCGGAGGUAUCCAAACUCUUGUUUUCUUAGUGGUAUCUUCUGAGUAGCGAAGCAAAAUGAAUUA